rnacentral:rRNA from 1 species
CGGAUUUAUUGGGCGUAAAGCGCACGCAGGCGGUUUCUUAAGUUUUGAGCGACAGGUGGGGGCUCAACUCCCACAGGCCUUGGAAAACUGGGAAACUUGAGGACGAGAGAGGGAUGCGGAAUUCCAGGUGGAGCGGUGAAAUGCGUAGAGAUCUGGAAGAACACCAAAGGCGAAGGCAGCAUCCUGGCUCGGAUCUGACGCUCAUGUGCGAAAGCUAGGGGAGCGAACGGG